CCCACUGAUUUUAAGCAUAUUUUUCAGCAGAGGAAAAGAAACUAACAAAGAUUUACUCAGUAAUGACUAGUGAAUAGGGAAGAGGACAGAGUGAGAAAUGUGGUGUAAGGAAGACACAUUCCCAGGAAGUGCUCAUUGUGAGGCCAAGUCCUUCUGAUGGAGGCCCAACCCAUGGACCAUGAGAAGCUUGUAUUGGAGGGCUAGGCCCUAGUCUUCCCAGAGUUGGGUUGCUUGGAAAUGCAACCCAAAGUGGAUGGUUGUCGGCUCUGCCACAGGGCAUGGCCACUUGGGGGAGCCAAAACUCAA
rfam:Mus musculus chromosome 5, GRC primary reference assembly.